AGAGUCUUCGGGACUCGGCGCACUUGCCAGUAAUAUAUAGUUAACCUACCCUAAAGUCAGGGAUAAUCUCGGGAAACUGAGGCUAAUAUCUGAUAGGCAUUCUGGUCUGGAAUGAUAGAAUGCCGAAAGGUCCGCCGCUUUAGGAUGGGACUAUAUCCUAUCAGCCUGUUGGGGGUGUAACGGACCCCCAAAGCUAUAACGGGUACGGGCCAUGAGAGUGGAAGCCCGGAGAUGGAUUCUGAGACAUGAAUCCAGGUCCUACGGGAUGCAGCAGGCGCGAAACCUUCACUAUGCGCUAACGCGCGAUGAGGGAAUCUGGAGUGCCUAUGCUCCGCAUAGGCUUUUUCUGAGGCGAAACAGCUCGGAGAAUAAGGGGUGGGUAAGACAAGUGCCAGCCGCCGCGGUAAUACUUGCGCCCCGAGUGGUAUCCAGUAUUAGUUGGUCUAAAGCGUCCGUAGCCGGUCUUGUUAGUCCCUAGUGAAAUCUGCUGGAAAGCUGGCAGGCUUGCUGGGGAUACUGCAAGACUUGG
rnacentral:rRNA from 1 species